rnacentral:rRNA from 1 species
GAUGAACGCUGACAGAAUGCUUAACACAUGCAAGUCAACUUGAAUUUGGGUUUUUAACUUAGGUUUGGGUGGCGGACGGGUGAGUAACGCGUAAAGAACUUGCCUCACAGCUAGGGACAACAUUUGGAAACGAAUGCUAAUACCUAAUAUUAUGAUAAUAGGGCAUCCUAUAAUUAUGAAAGCUAUAAGCGCUGUGAGAGAGCUUUGCGUCCCAUUAGCUAGUUGGAGAGGUACCGGCUCACCAAGGCGAUGAUGGGUAGCCGGCCUGAGAGGGUGAUCGGCCACAAGGGGACUGAGACACGGCCCUUACUCCUACGGGAGGCAGCAGUGGGGAAUAUUGGACAAUGGACCGAGAGUCUGAUGCAGCAAUUCUGUGUGCACGAUGAAGUUUGUCGGAAUGUAAAGUGCUUUCAGUUGGGAAGAAACAAAUGACGGUACCAACAGAAGAAGUGACGGCUAAAUACGUG